AGGCACCAGUGGGGAAUAUUGGGCAAUGGAGGGAACUCUGACCCAGCGACGCCGCGUGCGGGAUGAAGGCCUUCGGGUUGUAAACCGCUUUCAGCAAGGAAGAAGCGAAAGUGACGGUACUUGCAGAAGAAGCACCGGCUAACUAUGUGCCAGCAGCCGCGGUAAUACAUAGGGUGCAAGCGUUGUCCGGAAUUAUUGGGCGUAAAGAGCUCGUAGGUGGUUCGUCACGUCGGAUGUGAAAAUCUGGGGCUUAACCCCAGACCUGCAUUCGAUACGGGCGAGCUAGAGUGUGGUAGGGGAGACUGGAAUUCCUGGUGUAGCGGUGGAAUGCGCAGAUAUCAGGAGGAACACCAAUGGCGAAGGCAGGUCUCUGGGCCAUUACUGACACUGAGGAGCGAAAGCGUGGGGAGCGAACAGGAUUAGAUACCCCCGUAGUCCGG
rnacentral:rRNA from 1 species